rnacentral:rRNA from 1 species
UACGUAGGGUGCGAGCGUUGUCCGGAAUUAUUGGGCGUAAAGAGCUCGUAGGCGGUCUGUCGCGUCGAUCGUGAAAACCCGGGGCUCAACUCCGGGCCUGCAGUCGAUACGGGCGGACUAGAGUACUGCAGGGGAGACUGGAAUUCCUGGUGUAGCGGUGAAAUGCGCAGAUAUCAGGAAGAACACCGGUGGCGAAGGCGGCUCUCUGGGCCUUACCUGACGCUGAGGAGCGAAAGCGUGGGUAGCGAACAGG